GAUGAACGCUGGCGGCGUGCCUAAUACAUGCAAGUCGAGCGAAUGGAUUAAGAGCUUGCUCUUAUGAAGUUAGCGGCGGACGGGUGAGUAACACGUGGGUAACCUGCCCAUAAGACUGGGAUAACUCCGGGAAACCGGGGCUAAUACCGGAUAACAUUUUGAACCGCAUGGUUCGAAAUUGAAAGGCGGCUUCGGCUGUCACUUAUGGAUGGACCCGCGUCGCAUUAGCUAGUUGGUGAGGUAACGGCUCACCAAGGCAACGAUGCGUAGCCGACCUGAGAGGGUGAUCGGCCACACUGGGACUGAGACACGGCCCAGACUCCUACGGGAGGCAGCAGUAGGGAAUCUUCCGCAAUGGACGGAAGUCUGACGGAGCAACGCCGCGUGAGUGAUGAAGGCUUUCGGGUCGUAAAACUCUGUUGUUAGGGAAGAACAAGUGCUAGUUGAAUAAGCUGGCACCUUGACGGUACCUAACCAGAAAGCCACGGCUAACUACGCGCCAGCCGCCGCCGUAA
rnacentral:rRNA from 1 species